rnacentral:rRNA from 1 species
CCUACGGGUGGCAGCAGUGGGGGAUAUUGGACAAUGGGGGAAACCCUGAUGCAGCGACGCCGCGUGAGUGAAGAAGUAUUUCGGUAUGUAAAGCUCUAGCAGCAGGGAAGAAAAUGACGGUAACUGACUAAGAAGCCCCGGCUAACUACGUGCCAGCAGCCGCGGUAAUACGUAGGGGGCAAGCGUUAGCCGGAUUUACUGGGGGUAAAGGGAGCGGAGAGGGUGCAGGAAGUCUGAUGUGAAAGGUCGGGGGCCAACCCCGGGACUGCAUUGGAAACUGUUGAACUUGAGUACAGGAGAGGCAAGCGGAAUUCCUAGUGUAGCGGUGAAAUGCGUAGAUAUUAGGAGGAACACCAGUGGCGAAGGCGGCUUACUGGACUGUAACUGACGUUGAGGCUCGAAAGCGUGGGGAGCAAACAGGAUUAGAUACCCGGGUAGUC